ensembl:lncRNA
AUUAACAAAAGGAAGCUGCAUUUCGGUGGUGUGAUUUCUCUCAGCUGCACAGUUUGGCUCCUAACCAAAAGCUUCAGCCUGAUGCAAAGAUAAAGAGGUUUCAGACAACGGUUAUUGCAGUUGGAUGGCAUUUCAAGAACUGAUCUCUAUCAGACGCCUAUGAUGCACUUGAGAAGCCAUCCGUUGUGCUUCCUUGCAUCUCAGAAGUCAGCAAACCUGCACAGUUCGGUCCUGCCUGCUAGCCCUGACUACAUAUGCACAGCAUGGCAAUUAUGGCAGGAGGAAGCCUGAAAUAAUUGCGUGUUUGGAGCAUGAGGUUCAUCUCUAGCCAGACCUCAGACUGUGCUUUCCACAACAUUAAGAUUGCUGAAGGACUCUUAUAUAAGCCUAAUUGACACAAUUAAAAGAAUGAUUCCU